GGUUCGAUCAUGGCUCAGAUUGAACGCUGGCGGGAUGCUUUACACAUGCAAGUCGAACGGCAGCACGGACUUCGGUCUGGUGGCGAGUGGCGAACGGGUGAGUAAUGUAUCGGAACGUGCCUAGAAGCGGGGGAUAACUACGCGAAAGCGUAGCUACCGCACAUUGCCCUUCGGGGGAAAGCGGGGGACCUUUCGGGCCUCGCACUAUUAGAGCGGCCGAUAUCGGAUUAGCUAGUUGGUGGGGUAACGGCUCACCAAGGGCGACGAUCCGUAGCUGGUUUGAGAGGACGACCAGCCACACUGGGACUGAGACACGGCCCAGACCCUACGGGAGGCAGCAGUGGGGAAUUCUUGGACAAUGGGGAAACCCUGAUCCAGCCAUCCCGCGUGCGAUGGAAGGCCUUCGGGUUGUAAAGCACUUUUGGCAGGGAAAGAAACGGCACGUGGGAUACCCGUGCAACUGACGGUACCUGCAGAAGCUAAGCACCGCUAAUCACGUGCCAGCAGCCGCGGUAAUACGUAGGGUGCAAGCGUUAAUCGGAAUUACCGGGGCGUAAAGCGUGCGCAGGCGGUUCGGAAAGAAAGAUGUGAAAUCCCAGAGCUUAACUUUGGAACUGCAUUUUAAUCAUCAGCUUAGAGGUCAGAGGGAGGUGGAAUUCCGCGUGUAGCAGUGAAUGCGUAGAUAUGCGGAGGAACACCGAUGGCGAAGGCAGCCUCUGGGAUAACACUGACGCUCAUGCACGAAAGCGUGGGGAGUAAACAGGAUUAGAUAAUUCUGGUAGUCCACGCCCUAAACGAUGUCAACUAGCUGUUGGGGUUUUUCGGGUCGGUAGCGCAGCUAAUUGCGAAGUUGACCGCCUGGGGAGUACGGUCGCAAGAUUAAAACUCAAAGGAAUUGACGGGGACCCGCACAAGCGGUGGAUGAUGUGAUUAAUUCGAUGCAACGCGAAAAACCUUACCUACCCUUGACAUGUCUGGAAUCCCGAAGAGAUUUGGGAGUGCUCGCAUGAGAACCGGAACACAGGUGCUGCAUGGCUGUCGUCAGCUCGUGUCGUGAGAUGUUGGGUUAAGUCCCGCAACGAGCGCAACCCUUGUCAUUAGUUGCUACGAAAGGGCACUCUAAUGAGACUUGCCGGUGACAAACCGGAGGAAGGUGGGGAUGACGUCAAGUCCUCGCGGCCCUUAUGGGCAGGGCUUUCACACGUCAUACAAAUGGUCGGGACAGAGGGUCGCCAACCCGCGAGGGGGAGCCAAUCCCAGAACCCGAUCGUAGUCCGGAUCGCAGUCUGCAACUCGACUGCGAAGUCGGAAUCGCUAGUAAUCGCGGAUCAGCAUGUCGCGGUGAAUACGUUCCCGGGUCUUGUACACACCGCCCGUCACACCAUGGGAGUGGGUUUUACCAGAAGUAGUUAGCCUAACCGUAAGGAGGGCGAUACCACGCGGCAGGAUUCAUGACUGGGGUGAAGUCGUAACAAGGU
rnacentral:rRNA from 1 species